rnacentral:rRNA from 1 species
UACCAGCUCUCCGAGUGGUGUGGAUGUUUAUUUGGCCUAAAGCAUCCGUAGCUGGCUGGGCAAGUCCCCUGUUAAAUCCACCGAUUUAAUCGUUGGAAUGCGGGGGAUACUGUUCGGCUAGGGGACGGGAGAGGCAGACGGUAUUUUCGGGGUAGGGGUGAAAUCCUAUAAUCCCGGGAAGACCACCAGUGGCGAAGGCUGUCUGCUAGAACGCGCCCGACGGUGAGGGAUGAAAGCUGGGGGAGCGAACCGGAUUAGAUACCCGGGUAGUCCCAGCUGUAAACGAUGCAGGCUAGGUGUUUGGGCGGCUACGUGCCGCUCUAGUGCCGCAGGGAAGCCGUUAAGCCUGCCGCCUGGGGAGUACGGCCGCAAGGCUGAAACUUAAAGGAAUUGGCGGGGAGCACCACAAGGGGUGAAGCUUGCGGUUU